UACUCCGUUCUUCAGUGCGUCAGGUACUUAUAGGGGCACCCUGGGUGGGGUCCUACUCUGCUGUUCUGAGCGUCAGGCGCUUGAUGGGCCAGCCUCUCUAUUGUUCAGCUGCCAAUGCUGGCUUGUGGGGAAAGAGAGGCUGUGGUGAUGGCUCCACCCCCUACACAUGACUCAGCACUAUCGCCUUGCUUCCACGGCUGCCUGGCCUUUCCCACAGGCAUUUUCCUCAGGCGUUUCCCACCACAAUCUCCUCCCGCCCGUCCCCUCGGUCCAUCUCUCUGCCGUCAACAGCAGCCCUCUCCCUGAGAUUGCUCCACAAACGCUACACUCCAGCUCCCGGCUGCUGCGUCUUCUAGGGAACCAGCAUCCCUGUCUGGGAUGACCUUCCCAGAUGGCUCAGCCAUAAAGAAUUUGCCUGAAAUGCAGGAGAUGUGGGUUCAGUCCCUGUCAGGUAGAUCCCCUGGAGGAGGGCAUUGUAACCCACUCCAGUAUUCUUGCCUGGAGAAUCCUGUGAAUAGAGGAGUCUAGUGGGCUACAGUCCAUAAAGUCGCAAAGAGUUGGACACAACUGAAGCAGCUGGGCGCACAUGCAGACUUCAGGUGACUCUACCGGUAAAGAAUCCACCUGCCAAUGCAGAAGACACAGAGAUAUAGGUUCGAUCUCCGGGGAAGAAAAUGGCAACCCACUCCAGUAGUCUUGUCUGGAAGAUUCCAUGGACAGAGCAGCCUGGUGGGCUACAGUCCAAAGGGUCACAAAGAGUCGGACGCGACUGAGCAACUGAGCAUGCACAAAGUGCCUUAUUUGGAAGGGCUUGUUUUUGUUUUGUUUUUACCAUUAAAAUUUUUUAAAUUUAAAUAUAGUUGAUUUACA